ACCGUCGUGUGAUUGCAUAAACAGAGCCAAAACAUUUUUUCGAGAGUACGCAAAUUGCGUACCAUAGCUUUAUAGAAGAAGAGAAUUGAAAAUACAAGACAACUAUCACUCGUUGCGAACAACAAGCGUAGCACCACACCACAUCUGGCUAGUCCAAGGACAGCCAACAACGACAACACAACUGCUAUAGAUAAAACAUUACUUUGAAGCACAUCCGACAAGUUCUCAUUUGCUACAGGCUUUCGCCCCGCUUUAUAGAUAAAGCCACAAUCAUGAAACAAAGUCUGAAAGUACCACGGCACAUAGGUUCAGGCUGCGGGCAGCAGCACAACCGAUUCAGGUGCAGACAGCGCGCCACAGAUGCUUCCGUGAUACGAUACAAGUUAGAGAGCGGGAAG
rnacentral:lncRNA from 1 species